CGAAGGGGGCUAGCGUUGUUCGGAAUUACUGGGCGUAAAGCGCGCGCAGGCGGUCUUCCAAGUCAGUGGUGAAAGCCCGGAGCUCAACUCCGGAACUGCCAUUGAAACUGUAAGACUUGAGGAUGAGAGAGGUGAGUGGAAUUCCCAGUGUAGAGGUGAAAUUCGUAGAUAUUGGGAAGAACACCGGUGGCGAAGGCGGCUCACUGGCUCAUUUCUGACGCUCAGGCGCGACAGCGUGGGGAUCAAACAGGAUUAGAUACCCUGGUAGUCCACGCCGUAAACGAUGAAUGCUAGCCGUUGGGCAGCUUGCUGUCAGUGCGCAGCUAACGCAUUAAGCAUUCCGCCUGGGGAGUACGGCCGCAAGGUUG
rnacentral:rRNA from 1 species